CUACUGCGAGGCUAAGCUAGUGGGAGCAAAGUUUCAGUGCAUUCCGUUGAUGUAGACGGCGUGAAAACGGAAACAAGAAGUAUGCCGUCUCACUGCUGCAUACAGUUACACACUGCGUCGUACGAUUGAGACAAGGAAACUUGGAAUGACUUUUCAUAGAGUGAAAGUAGCAGUUCCUCCUGAAGGUCAGAGAUUGCAGCAUCUGAGGGCCUCUUCAAAAGAAGAUGUAGUUGAUGAAGGCGUUCUGGAGCAGGACCAGAAAGACCACGACCAAGGAGCCUUGAGAUCUUAGACAGCGUCUCCCUCAGGUCCCGCUCUAUCUCUCCACACAUCCACCAACCACUGGAACACAUCUCCAAAGUUCUGCAGGGCCAGCUCAGCUUCCCCUCAGAAGAAGUACUGCCACCUGCCAGAUGAAGGAGCCUUUUGAGAGGCAGCUGGCAUCGUGAUUGGACUGUACUUUGGUCUGUUCCAAUCCAGCUUCAGCUCCAGAGACGGCAGGCGGGACGAGUCAACGGAGGCCUGGUGGACGAAGGCAUGCAGCUGAGUACAAUCCAGAAAACAACAGAGGAGGAGUGCAGCAACCCAGGACCAGAACAACCAGAGUAGCAUCGUAUGUCUCUUAGAAAACAUCAUAGUAUAGCCUUUGGUAUGAAAAAACACCAUCAUAUACAUCGUAUAUUGUAUAAAUAACAAGUCAAAGGAAAGAGACAUACAUUGUAGAAUUGUAGUAAUUGUGGACUGACUGAUUUACUGAUUAUCAGUAUUUUAUUUUUUACCGAUUUACGGUAAUAAAUCAGUUUAAGAAUGGCGCUA